GAUGAAGAACGCAGCGAAAUGCGAUAAGUAAUGUGAAUUGCAGAAUUCAGUGAAUCAUCGAAUCUUGAACGCACCUUGCACCCUUUGGUAUUCCGAAGGGUAUGCCUGUUUGAGUGUCAUUAAAUUCUCAACCAUUGAACUUGUUUCUCUGGCUUGGAUGUGGGGGUUGCGGGCUUCGCAAGAGGUCGGCUCUCCUUAAAUGCAUUAGUGGAAACCGCUUGCAGGAUUCAUUCACUUUUUGGCGUGAUAGUAUCGUCGUCAAAGGUAGUGUCUCCGAGGUAUCUGCUUUCUAAUCGUCCGCAAGGACACUAUAAUGACUUGUUUGACCUCAAAUCAGGUAGGACUACCCGCUGAACUUAAGCAUAUCAAUAAGCGGAGGA
rnacentral:misc_RNA from 1 species